GGGAGAAGUUGAACGGGUCUCACAGACCCGAUUACCAUACAAGGGUUAAAAGCAGUAAAUUAAAAGCAGAAAGACACAGGAAGUUGCCUGUUGUUUUACGAGAAGUUGCUCGUUAAGCGAGAAGUUGCUCGCUAAGUGAGAGUUGCUCACACAAACAAAAAAUUGCUAGCAAUAAAUUUAAAGUGACCUCAGCUGUGCCGCAGCGAAAAUACUAACCUAAAUCCUCCUAGCGUGUAAACCCCUCUGGAAAUCACUGAACAUGAGUCAGAAUAAUUCAAAGACCACAGACAGGUCCGAUAAAAAAUCUAAAGUACCUGUAAAACCAAAAAUUAAUAAAAUACAAAAUAAAGUCUCAAAUAACGGCUCAGUACAACUCCCAUUUCCGGUUACGUGUAACCUACGUCCGCGAAUCGGUGAAGACGUCCAUGAUCACGUAUCCAGAACAUGCGGGAGUGCUUAUGUGACUGACUUUGUUUACAACUUAAGAAGUUCAAUGCAUUCUAAUUUCUUUUCGGAGCCUUAUCCCGAACGAUUAUCGCCAGAAAACAGACUAUUUCCAAGACCAUGGUCAGCUUCCAGAGGGGCACCGCUAGUAGAAGCUUUUCCCCUCCACAGUUCCACCAGUGGAGACAAGGAGAUGCAUGUUGGAGAAGCCACUAAAACCAAGGACUCUCUGGGAGGCCGCGCGUGUUCCAGCCCCCAGACUGUACUGGCAGUGACGAAGAACCAGCAUCCUCACAGACGGACAACCUCAGUGGAUUCAUGCCAGCAGGGUUAAGACCAGCCCAAUCGGACCAUCUCAGGCGUCGGAUCAAGCAGAUGACAUCUCCGGCGAGCCAGCGCCCGGAACUAGAGCAAAUAAACACACGGGUAGAUGACAUCUCCGGCGAGCCAGCGCCAGGAUCCAAUUUACACACACACACAAUCACUGAUUAACACACAACGUCUGAAAGAACAACGACAAGGUACUCAAACAUCCAGCAGGAACAGAAAGCUAAAAGUACCACAUGAUGUCUAACCU
ensembl:lncRNA